rnacentral:sRNA from 1 species
AUGGCUGUCGUCAGCUCGUGUCGUGAGAUGUUGGGUUAAGUCCCGCAACGAGCGCAACCCUCGUUCCAUGUUGCCAGCACAUAAUGGUGGGGACUCAUGGGAGACUGCCGGGGUCAACUCGGAGGAAGGUGGGGAUGACGUCAAAUCAUCAUGCCCCUUAUGUCUUGGGCUUCGCGCAUGCUACAAUGGCCAGUACAAAGGGCUGCGAGACCGUAAGGUGGAGCGAAUCCCAAAAAGCUGGUCUCAGUUCGGAUCGGGGUCUGCAACUCGACCCCGUGAAGUCGGAGUCGCUAGUAAUCGCAGAUCAGCAACGCUGCGGUGAAUACGUUCCCGGGCCUUGUACACACCGCCCGUCACGUCACGAAAGUCGGUAACACCCGAAGCCGGUGGCCUAACCCGUAAGGGAGGGAGCUGUCGAAGGUGGGACUGGCGAUUGGGACGAAGUCGUAACAAGGUAGCCGUACCGGAAGGUGCGGCUGGAUCACCUCCUUUCUAAGGAGCACUUGGCGCUGCCGGUCUCACCGUCUGGUGGGGUGGGUGGUGUUCAGGACGGCCGUCCCCGGCCUUGCGUGUCGGGGUGGUUGCUCAAGGGUGGAACAUCGACAUGAGGGUCAUCGGUUCGUGGCCUCGCGUGCUAGUACAGCCAGUGUUGCUGGUGGGAACGUGCGUGGGGGGCGGGUGGGUGGUUCGUGGCACGCUGUUGGGUCCUGAGGGAGCAGGCCGGAAGGUUUGUUGCUUCUGCGGGCUGGUUCCGCGUCAUACCGUUUCUGUCUGUUGGGCGCACGGUGUGUGUCUGGUGGGUGGGGGUUGGUGGCGGGUUCGGGGCUGGUGUCCGUUCGUUGCUUGAGAACUGCAUAGUGGACGCGAGCAUCUUUGUGUUCUGCGGUGGACGUCUCGCUGCUGGUGGGGUCUUUCGGGAUUCUGCUGGGUGGUGGGGGGUCUGUCGAUGUUGUGUGAUUGUAGGUAGCAAGUUUGUAAGGGCAUACGGUGGAUGCCUUGGCACCAGGAGCCGAUGAAGGACGUAGGAGCCUGCGAUAAGCCUCGAGGAGCUGGCAACCGAGCUGUGAUCCGAGGAUGUCCGAAUGGGGAAACCCGG